GGUAAUGCCGGAUGCUCCAUCACACCGCAUGGUGUGUUGGGAAAGCCUUUGCGGCAUGGGAUGGGGUCGCGUCCUAUCAGCUUGAUGGCGGGGUAACGGCCCACCAUGGCUUCGACGGGUAGCCGGCCUGAGAGGGCGACCGGCCACAUUGGGACUGAGAUACGGCCCAGACUCCUACGGGAGGCAGCAGUGGGGAAUAUUGCACAAUGGGCGCAAGCCUGAUGCAGCGACGCCGCGUGAGGGAUGGAGGCCUUCGGGUUGUAAACCUCUUUUGUUAGGGAGCAAGGCAUUUUGUGUUGAGUGUACCUUUCGAAUAAGCACCGGCUAACUACGUGCCAGCAGCCGCGGUAAUACGUAGGGUGCAAGCGUUAUCCGGAAUUAUUGGGCGUAAAGGGCUCGUAGGCGGUUCGUCGCGUCCGGUGUGAAAGUCCAUCGCUUAACGGUGGAUCCGCGCCGGGUACGGGCGGGCUUGAGUGCGGUAGGGGAGACUGGAAUUCCCGGUGUAACGGUGGAAUGUGUAGAUAUCGGAAAAGAACA
rnacentral:rRNA from 1 species